GACGAACGCUGGCGGCGUGCUUAACACAUGCAAGUCGAACGGAAAGGUCCUGCUUUUGUGGGGUGCUCGAGUGGCGAACGGGUGAGUAACACGUGAGUAACCUGCCCUUGACUUUGGGAUAACUUCAGGAAACUGGGGCUAAUACCGGAUAGGAGAUCCUGCUGCAUGGUGGGGGUUGGAAAGGUUGGGCGGUUGGGGAUGGACGCGCGGAUUAUCAGCUUGUUGGUGGGGUAGUGGCUUACCAAGGCUUUGACGGGUAGCCGACCUGGGAGGGUGACCGGCCACAAUGGUACUGAGGUACGGCCCAGACUCCUACGGGAGGCAGCAGUGGGGAAUAUUGCACAAUGGGCGGAAGCCUGAGGCAGCAACGCCGCGUGCGGGAUGACGGCCUUCGGGUUGUAAACCGCUUUCGCCUGUGACGAAGCGUGAGUGACGGUAAUGGGUAAAGAAGCACCGGCUAACUACGUG
rnacentral:rRNA from 1 species